UGGGGAAUAUUGCACAAUGGGCGCAAGCCUGAUGCAGCCAUGCCGCGUGUGUGAAGAAGGCCUUCGGGUUGUAAAGCACUUUCAGCGAGGAGGAAGGGUAGUGUGUUAAUAGCACAUUGCAUUGACGUUACUCGCAGAAGAAGCACCGGCUAACUCCGUGCCAGCAGCCGCGGUAAUACGGAGGGUGCAAGCGUUAAUCGGAAUUACUGGGCGUAAAGCGCACGCAGGCGGUUUGUUAAGUCAGAUGUGAAAUCCCCGCGCUUAACGUGGGAACUGCAUCUGAAACUGGCAAGCUAGAGUCUUGUAGAGGGGGGUAGAAUUCCGAGGUGUAGCGGUGAAAUGCGUAGAGAUCUGGAGGAAUACCGGUGGCGAAGGCGGCCCCCUGGACAAAGACUGACGCUCAGGUGCGAAAGCGUGGGGAGCAAAACAGGAUUAGAUACCCUGGUAGUCCACGCUGUAAACGAUGUCGACUUGGGAGGUUGUGCCCUUGAGGCGUGGCUUCGGAGCUAACGCGUUAAGUCGACCGCCUGGGGAGUACG
rnacentral:rRNA from 1 species